GAUGAACGCUGGCGGCGUGCCUAAUACAUGCAAGUCGAGCGAACAGACGAGGAGCUUGCUCCUCUGACGUUAGCGGCGGACGGGUGAGUCACACGUGGAUAACCUACCUAUCAGACUGGGAUCACUUCGGGAAACCGGAGCUAGUACCGGAUAAUAUAUUGAACCGCAUGGUUCGAUAGUGAAAGACGGUUUUGCUGUCACUUAUAGAUGGUUCCGCGCCGCAUUAGCUAGUUGGUAAGGUAACGGCUUACCAAGGCAACGAUGCGUAGCCGACCUGAGAGGGUGAUCGGCCACACUGGAACGGAGACACGGACCAGACGCCUACGGGAGGCAGCAGUAGGGAAUCUUCCGCAAUGGGCGAAAGCCUGACGGAGCAACGCCGCGUGAGUGAUGAAGGUCUUCGGAUCGUAAAACUCUGUUAUGAGGGAAGAACAAAUGUGUAAGUAACUAUGCACGUCUUGACGGUACCUGAUCAGGAAGCCACGGCUAACUACGUG
rnacentral:rRNA from 1 species